GACGAACGCUGGCGGCGUGCUUAACACAUGCAAGUCGAACGGAAAACGAGGGAGCUUGCUCCCUCCGCAACAGUGGAGCACGGGAGAGUAACAUGUGUACAAUCCGCUUCGAACUCUGGGAUAAGCAGGGGAAACGACCUCUUAUCCCGGAUACGCUGCUGCAGCGCGUUGUCUCUGGGAGGAAAGAACCUGGUGGGGAUGUGAGCGCGGGUUAUCAGCUUGUUGUUGAGGGAACGGCUCACCCAGGCGACGACGGGUAGCCGGCCUGUGAGGGUGAACGGCCACACUGGGACUGAGACACGGCCCAGACUCCUACGGGAGGCAGCAGUGGGGAAGAUUGCACAAUGGGCGCAAGCCUGAUGCAGCAACGCCGCGUGAGGGACGACGGCCUUCGGGUUGUAAACCUCUUUUAGCAGGGAAGAAGCGAAAGUGACGGUACCUGCAGAAAAAGCACCGGCUAACUACGUG
rnacentral:rRNA from 1 species